CGCCUCUUGAUAAAAUAUAAGAGGUCCAGCCUGCCCAGUGAUAUUUUUAAACGGCCGCGGUACCCUGACCGUGCAAAGGUAGCAUAAUCAUUUGUUCUUUAAAUAAGGACUUGUAUCAACGGCAUUACGAGGGUUAUACUGUCUCCUCUUUCCAAUCAGUGAAACUGACCUCCCCGUGAAGAGGCGGGGAUAAAAAUACAAGACGAGAAGACCCCAUGGAGCUUUAAACCCAAUAACAACUCUCUUUAAUUAACCUUUAAAAAUACAGACGUACUGUUAAUUGGUUUUAGGUUGGGGUGACCACGGAGUAAAAUUUAGCCUCCUUGACGAAUAGACUUCAUCUUUAUCUAAGAGCUACAGCUCAAAGAAUCAAAAAUUUGACCUUACAUGAUCCGGCAACCGAUCAACGAACCAAGUUACCCUGGGGAUAACAGCGCAAUCCAUUUCAAGAGUCCAUAUCGACAAAUGGGUUUACGACCUCGAUGUUGGAUCAGGGUAUCCCAGUGGUGCAGCCGCUACUAAAGGUUUGUUUGUUCAACAAUUAAAACCCU
rnacentral:rRNA from 1 species